AGGCAAGCAAGCUGCUGCUGUACUUACCCACUCUUGGACCUCUGGGAAGGCCGCUAAAAAGGCCGAAUGCAGUAAAGCGUCGAACGUGGGAUUUCCAAGUGAAACCCAUCCCACCUUGGUAUCAGAGCACCAGACGGCCCGGCAGAGGAAUCUGGAGAAGCAAAAGACACAACAGAGAUAAACCAAAAACUGUAAGAAGAAGAGCCUGGUGUCAAGAGAGUCUGCAGACAGAAGUGGAUGCAUGCCUUGUAAAUAGAGGAAUGUUUUUGGAUUUAUUCACUUGUCAGACAAAUAUUUACUAAGUGCUUCCUAUGAAUCAGUCACUGUGCUAGACAUAGAGGACAAAGAUGAAUAAAUUGGAUGAUUC